rnacentral:rRNA from 1 species
UGACGCAGUGUGAAAAACUGAGGUGGUAUAAGAUGGGCCCGCGUCUGAUUAGCUGGUUGGGAGGGUAACGGCCUACCAAGGCGACGAUCAGUAGCCGGCCUGAGAGGGCGGACGGCCACAUUGGGACUGAGACACGGCCCAGACUCCUACGGGAGGCAGCAGUGGGGAAUAUUGCACAAUGGGGGGAACCCUGAUGCAGCGACGCCGCGUGAGUGAAGAAGUAUUUCGGUACGUAAAGCUCUAUCAGCAGGGAAGAAAAAAGGACGAUACAUGAGUAAGAAGCCCCGGCUAACUACGUGCCAGCAGCCGCGGUAAUACGUAGGGGGCAAGCGUUAUCCGGAAUUACUGGGUGUAAAGGGAGCGUAGACGGCAAUGCAAGUCCGGAGUGGAAUGCGGCAGCUCAACUGCCGAACUGCUCUGGAAACUGUAUGGCUUGAGUGCAGGAGGGGUAAGCGGAAUUCCUGGUGUAGCGGUGAAAUGCGUAGA